GACGAACGCUGGCGGCGUGCUUAACACAUGCAAGUCGUACGACAGCAUUUCCUUCGGGUUAUGUAUGGAGUGGCGAACGGGUGAGUAACACGUGAGUAACCUGCCCUCUUCUUUGGGAUAACGUGUGGAAACGUGCGCUAAUACUGAAUAUUCGCAUUCUUGCUGCAUGGUGGGGUGUGGAAAGGACCUUCGGGUCGUGGUGGGGGAGUGGGC
rnacentral:rRNA from 1 species